rnacentral:rRNA from 1 species
AUGAUUAUUGAACAUGAAAAUCGUUCGAAUGUCCAGCUACCGGUUGAAGAGUAUUAUUUAGAUGCAUCCUUUAGAUGUAAUCAAGUACUAAUUCAAUGGGAUGAGCCUCAUGUGGAGCUGAAGAAACACCGGACCUUUCUUGAUCAGCUCAUGCCACUAUAUAGCACACAAUCAAGGUUUAAUAGAGAAAGUUUACCCGGUAUGCGUGUCAUGGAUAAAGCCGAUAAGUUACUGGCGAGUAUUUCAUAUGGUGAUUCUGUUUGGAAGAUGGUUACCAGUAUUACGAGUCGAUCGACACAAACUCCUCAGAGGCGAGGUGUUCUCAUUCGGCUCAUUAAGCCAUAUGAUUCAGAUGAUGGGCCACCAGUUAAGAAGCAAAGGAAUGCCAGAUAUCAACUGCGAUUUGUCAAUAGGGUGUGCAAUGACUACUACACACGGGAACAGAUCAAAUCAGAGGAUGGAAAUCUUUUAAAGGUAGCUUUGUAUGAUGAGAACAAUCUAGUAGUCACAUCUGGUCCACUGUCCUCAGCUUCGGUGGAGAUCGUACUACUUCAUGGUGAUUUCAAUGACGAAGGUCGAGAUUAUUGGACAUCAGAGGAGUUCAGUGCCUGCCUAGUGCAUCCACAAUCUGUAGAAGAACCAACAGCCUUGGGAGGUGACCGUGUCUUGACACUGGCCGAGGGAGGGGCAGACCUUGGUAAUGUCAAUUUCCAUACUUCCUCCUCCCAUGCGAGGACUGGAAAAUUCAAGAUGGGUGUUAAGAUUACAAAUUUAAGAGAAGAGAGUGUUCAAGAAGGAAUCACUAGCCCAUUUCUUGUGAGAGUUCGCCAAGGGAAAGCCGUACAGCACCUGAUCCGCAAAGCACCGCACUUCAGUGUUGACUGCGUCCUCUGCGGCUGCCUUGUUUUCCUCGGCCACGACCUCUUCAUGUACAACGACGCAGCGUUCUGCAGCAUGGAGUGCCGGCAGCAGCACAUAACGCAUGACGAGCGGAAGAAAAAGUGCACGGCGAGGUCUAUGACCCACCGGUGCACGCGCCCAUGGGCACCAGACCCGGAUGGGUAG